rnacentral:rRNA from 1 species
AACGAACGCUGGCGGCAGGCUUAACACAUGCAAGUCGAGCGCCCCGCCAGGGGAGCGGCCGUCGGGUGAGUAACGCGUGGGAACGUACCUUUUGGUUCGGAACAACUCCGGGAUACUGGAGCUAAUACCGGAUAAGCCCUAACGGGGAAAGAUUUAUCGCCUAAAGUUCGGCCCGCGUCGGCUUAGCUGGUUGGGGAGGUAACGGCGCACCAAGGCGACGAUCAGUAGCUGGUCUGAGAGGCUGAUCAGCCACACUUGGACUGGGACACGGCCCAGACUCCUACGGGAGGCAGCAGUGGGGAAUAUAGGACAAUGGGCGCAGGCCUGAUCCAGCCAGGCCGCGUGAGUGAUGAAGGCCUUAGGGUUGUAAAGCUCUUUUGUCCGGGAAGAUAAUGACGGUACCGGAAGAAUAAGCCCCGGCUAACUUCGUG